AGCAUUUUAUCAUGUUUGUUGGCGCUUGUAUGUCGUCUUUUGAGAAGCGUCUGUUCAUGUCCUUUGCCUGGUUUUUAAUGGGGUUGUUUUUAGCUUGUUGAUUUUAGUUCCUUGUAGAUUCUGGAUAUUAGACAUUUUUGGAUGCAUACUUUGGGGGACAUCUGCUGCUUCCCAAAUGCCACAUUUCUUCAAAUAAAAAGCAGAAGACAGCAUGCAGUACAU
rnacentral:lncRNA from 10 species